GAUGAACGCUGGCGGCGUGCUUAACACAUGCAAGUCGAACGAAGCACUUUAUUUGAUUUCCUUCGGGACUGAUUAUUUUGUGACUGAGUGGCGGACGGGUGAGUAACGCGUGGGUAACCUGCCUUGUACAGGGGGAUAACAGUUGGAAACGGCUGCUAAUACCGCAUAAGCGCACGGCAUCGCAUGAUGCAGUGUGAAAAACUCCGGUGGUAUAAGAUGGACCCGCGUUGGAUUAGCUAGUUGGUGAGGUAACGGCUCACCAAGGCGACGAUCCAUAGCCGACCUGAGAGGGUGACCGGCCACAUUGGGACUGAGACACGGCCCAAACUCCUACGGGAGGCAGCAGUGGGGAAUAUUGCACAAUGGGCGAAAGCCUGAUGCAGCGACGCCGCGUGAGCGAAGAAGUAUUUCGGUAUGUAAAGCUCUAUCAGCAGGGAAGAUAAUGACGGUACCUGACUAAGAAGCACCGGCUAAAUA
rnacentral:rRNA from 1 species